rnacentral:rRNA from 1 species
UGGGGAAUAUUGCACAAUGGGGGAAACCCUGAUGCAGCGACGCCGCGUGAACGAAGAAGGUAUUCGUAUCGUAAAGUUCUGUCCUAUGGGAAGAUAAUGACAGUACCAUAGAAGAAAGCUCCGGCUAAAUACGUGCCAGCAGCCGCGGUAAUACGUAUGGAGCGAGCGUUGUCCGGAAUUAUUGGGCGUAAAGGGUACGCAGGCGGUUUAAUAAGUCGAAUGUUAAAGAUCGGGGCUCAACCCCGCAAGCAUUGGAAACUGAUAAACUUGAGUAGUGGAGAGGAAAGUGGAAUUCCUAGUGUAGUGGUGAAAUACGUAGAUAUUAGGAGGAAUACCAGUAGCGAAGGCGACUUUCUGGACACAAACUGACGCUGAGGUACGAAAGCGUGGGGAGCAAACAGG